AAAAAAAGCAAGCCCCACGAGGCAAAUAGCUCAACGUACCACUCCCCCGAUCCCCAUCUUCCCUAGAUCCAAUCUCCGCCGGACCUCCGCCUGAAGCGGGACGCCGCCACCGCAUCGCCCGCCAGUCCCCUACCACAUCCGCCGUGGCCCACCACCGCAGGCACUGGCCCGACCACCUCCGCCGUUGCCCUCCAUCCCGACCACCCCCGCUACGCGCCCAGCCGAUUCAGCCCAUCGACGGCCUUCCUCCCCUGCCCCACUGCGGCAGUGGCCUCCUUCCGCCCUCAACCACUGCCGUCGCGACCUGCUACAGGGCGCCGCCACCGCCGCGACCUGCCCCAGGGCUCUGCCGCCGCCGCCGCCGCGAUCUAUGUGAUGCUGCUUCGACACCCAGAGUUGCCCCGCCUCAAGCCGACAUCCCCCGCGCGCAGCCACUGAUUGGUGGCAUGGUCGCGCAUCGCCGGCAUCCUCUGUCACGCUCGGCACCUCCUGAGUGUUGGAGUGAAGAGCAUUUUCUUCAGGACAGUGGAAGCACCCUCACCCUGAUCCGAUCUGUAGCAGCGCCCCGAGUCCUCCCAAAGCAGCCUUGAGCCGUUCAAGUAUGUAGCCCGGGCCGUUCAACGACGGAGCUACCGACCGUUCAUUAACACUACACCCCGGAUCCUGCUGCCCACCAUCAAGUUCAACUUCUGUUGAAUCCUGUAAAGGGGGACUUAUUGUGUUGAUCCUGGUGCUUGUCACCAUUCACGAGGAAAGAUAGUCGGUCUUUGAACGGGUAAGUGACCUUGCUGUUGCUGGGAUGCUAUUCAACAUGGGGAAUUGAUCUCCCUUGAGGUGCACUGUAGCGAGAUAUAUGCUGCUGCCACUUUUGGAUUUAUUGUUGAGAUGGUCGCUGAAGCUCAAUAUUGAUUUGUCCUUCCCCUUGAUCUUUCCCUACAUGCUUUGUAGAUCAUCAGUAAGAACAAAAAGUAUGCCUCUAAGCUGCAUGUGUUUAUUCCACAAAAGAAAUUAGUAUGGCUGUACAUGGUCGACUGUUCUUGACCAGUUUCUGUAGUAAUUUGUAUGGCUGACAAUUUUCAGCAGUAAUUAACAUGGCUGCAGUCAACUGUGUUUGAUUUCCAGCAGGCCAACUUGAUUAAUGCUAGUGUAACUCAUCUUCAUAAGUGUACAUGGACAGAGUGUGAAAUUUGUUCCUGCUGUUGUUGUUUAGAUAGAUCAGACUAGAACAUUUUGUACGAACCAUUUACUCAAGUGAGAGAGAUAGGCUUCUUGGUACUUCAUCUAUUUCUUGGCAAAAGCAGAAAGUGUAACGACAUUUGUUCCCUGUGAAUAAAUUUGUGUUCCUA